UAAGGGCGCACGGUGGAUGCCUUGGCACUAGAAGCCGAUGAAGGACGUUACUAACGACGAUAUGCUUUGGGGAGCUGUAAGUAAGCUUUGAUCCAGAGAUUUCCGAAUGGGGAAACCCAGCAUGAGUUAUGUCAUGUUAUCGAUAUGUGAAUACAUAGCAUAUCAGAAGGCACACCCGGAGAACUGAAACAUCUUAGUACCCGGAGGAAGAGAAAGAAAAUUCGAUUCCCUUAGUAGCGGCGAGCGAAACGGGAAGAGCCCAAACCAACAAGCUUGCUUGUUGGGGUUGUAGGACACUCUAUACGGAGUUACAAAGGACGACAUUAGACGAAUCAUCUGGAAAGAUGAAUCAAAGAAGGUAAUAAUCCUGUAGUCGAAAAUGUUGUCUCUCUUGAGUGGAUCCUGAGUACGACGGAGCACGUGAAAUUCCGUCGGAAUCUGGGAGGACCAUCUCCUAAGGCUAAAUACUCUCUAGUGACCGAUAGUGAACCAGUACCGUGAGGGAAAGGUGAAAAGCACCCCGGAAGGGGAGUGAAAUAGAACCUGAAACCGUGUGCUUACAAGUAGUCAGAGCCCGUUAAUGGGUGAUGGCGUGCCUUUUGUAGAAUGAACCGGCGAGUUACGAUUUGAUGCAAGGUUAAGCAGUAAAUGUGGAGCCGUAGCGAAAGCGAGUCUGAAUAGGGCGUUUAGUAUUUGGUCGUAGACCCGAAACCAGGUGAUCUACCCUUGGUCAGGUUGAAGUUCAGGUAACACUGAAUGGAGGACCGAACCGACUUACGUUGAAAAGUGAGCGGAUGAACUGAGGGUAGCGGAGAAAUUCCAAUCGAACCUGGAGAUAGCUGGUUCUCUCCGAAAUAGCUUUAGGGCUAGCCUCAAGUGAUGAUUAUUGGAGGUAGAGCACUGUUUGGACGAGGGGCCCCUCUCGGGUUACCGAAUUCAGACAAACUCCGAAUGCCAAUUAAUUUAACUUGGGAGUCAGAACAUGGGUGAUAAGGUCCGUGUUCGAAAGGGAAACAGCCCAGACCACCAGCUAAGGUCCCAAAAUAUAUGUUAAGUGGAAAAGGAUGUGGCGUUGCCCAGACAACUAGGAUGUUGGCUUAGAAGCAGCCAUCAUUUAAAGAGUGCGUAAUAGCUCACUAGUCGAGUGACACUGCGCCGAAAAUGUACCGGGGCUAAACAUGUUACCGAAGCUGUGGAUUGUCCUUUGGACAAUGGUAGGAGAGCGUUCUAAGGGCGUUGAAGCAUGAUCGUAAGGACAUGUGGAGCGCUUAGAAGUGAGAAUGCCGGUGUGAGUAGCGAAAGACGGGUGAGAAUCCCGUCCACCGAUUGACUAAGGUUUCCAGAGGAAGGCUCGUCCGCUCUGGGUUAGUCGGGUCCUAAGCUGAGGCCGACAGGCGUAGGCGAUGGAUAACAGGUUGAUAUUCCUGUACCACCUAUAAUCGUUUUAAUCGAUGGGGGGACGCAGUAGGAUAGGCGAAGCGUGCGAUUGGAUUGCACGUCUAAGCAGUAAGGCUG
rnacentral:rRNA from 1 species